AUGGAUGGACGGGUAGCUGGGUCACGUACCGGAGUAUGCGUAUCCUUUCAUGGUGUAUGCGCGCUGGGUGGUGAAGGCGUUGAUGGGGAGGAUCUCGUCGUGCCCGGGCGUGGUGAUCACCGAGUUGGUGUUGAGCUCGUUGAUGAUGUACUCGGGCCGGUACCACCACGCCUCCGCGUUGGCCAGCUCCGCGUCCACGUGCGACGGCAGCACCCGGUUGUCCUUGAAGUGGUAGUAGUUGUCGGACUCGGCGGUGGUCACCACGAUGCGCCGGAGCCACUUCACCAUGCGGCCGCCGAUGCAGCCCGGGAUGAGCACGCGGACGGGGAAGCCGUGGUCGGGGAGCAGCGGCUCCCCGUUCUGCGCGUAGGCGAGCAGGAUGUCGCGGGACGGGUCGAGCGCCCACUCCCGGGUCACGCUGGUGCCGUACUUGGAGCCGCCGCCGCCGGGGAGGUCCUCGGCGCCCUCGAAGCACACGUUCAGGGCCUGCCCCUUGCGCGACAUGAUGCCGCACCGGAGCAGCACUUCGCGGAGGCGCGCCCCGCGCCAGACGGAGGUGGACACCCCCGCCGCGCCCCAGUUGAAGCCCACCGUCUGCUGCACCAUGUUCUGCUCCUUGCGGCGGUUGCCGGCGCACACCAGCGUGGCGGGCACCUCCGCGGCGGCGAACCCGUUGGCCAGCUCGUCCAUGGUGAGCCGCGCGGGGCGGCGGACGAGCCCUGUCACCUCGACCGUCCAGGUGGCCCAGUCGCCCUUUGGCACGGCGCCGUGGUUGCGCACGUAGUGGAGCGGCGCGGGCGUGAUGAAGCCGUGGUGCAUGAGGCGCGCCAGCGGCGGCUCGCAGUUGAGCGGGUGCUUGCCGGUGAGGCGGAUCAGCGAGGGGUUGCGGUCGAUCCAGGCGUCCGCCGUGCCCUCGUCCCGCGGGUCGCGCGUCGACGGCUCCACCUCCAGCUGCAGCUGCGAGCCGUACGCCUCCCGCCAGUCCUCCUCCGGCUCCUCGUCCUCCUCGUCCUGCUCCUCUUCCUCGACGAUGGCCUUCCGCGGCGGCGAAAUGAGCGGGGGGAACCCGCAGCCGCGCACCGGCGAGUCGGCGCGGCGACGGAUGCCGCCGUUGGAGGAACCGUUGCGUGCCGGCGGCGCGGUGGCCGGCGCGUCGAGGCGGCCGAACGACGACUGCCGUGGCUCGACCGAAGCGGCCAUGGUGCGCUGUGCCGCGUCGUGGGACAAGCGUUGGAUGGUUUCUGGAUUGGUCGCCGCAGAAGAGGAAAGGAAGGAACCGGCGGCAGGUAG
rnacentral:rRNA from 1 species